UGCAUUCAGCGCUGCAGAUAUUUUGCACAUCCAGCCACUAAUCCUGACUUCCAAAAGCAAAUUUCUGAUACCAUUAACUCUCCUUCGACAAGCCUCCAGUCCCGUGAGAUGACGGAGAGAAACAUGGAUGUGUAGAGUCGGAAAUCAUGACUGUGCCAAGCAGCUUCUUCCUCUCUGAAUCUGCACCUCGACAGCUUUCCACUAGUGUUCCCUGCUGUGGGAAGAAAACGCUGACGAAGCAGGAGAGAAGCGCACAGCUCUCCCUGAGAGCUGGAACGCCGACCGCGCGAGAGACUACGGGGAAUAUCAGGAAGCCAACAGUGAGUCCUUCCAUGGGACGACGUGGAAGCUGGUCAUCAUCAUGAGCUGACGUUGAUUUACUCUGAUUCACCUCCAUUACCUGGAACAGUUAAGAUGACUUUGCAAUAGUGUGUGUGUGUGUGUGUGUGUGUGUGUGUGUGUGUGUUGAACCGUAGCUUCCAGGGAAAAGAUCAACUCAGAGCCAGGUUUUUUAGUUUCAAGUAAAUUUUUGUUCAGUUGUUUAAACAUCCCACUUUGACACAGCGGGGUCAGAUUACCCUCCUUUCUCAACCCGCCUGUCUCCACCCAGAACGGCGUCGCUCCCGCCCAACACUCUCUGACAGCUCAUGACACAAUGUGCUCUUACAGUCUCUCACUCGAGUCAAGCUUACGACACACUGUCCACAGCAGUUUACGCAGUUGAAUGUGGGAUGAUUUGGUAACUUCAGCCCCUUUCACCCUCUUUCUUUUCUUUCUGAGGUUGGGUAAUCGAACCUCCGUCACCAAGAGCUGUUUUUCCACGCUGCUGUUGGCACAGACUCUCGGGUCUAAGCCAAGUCACAGGUCCGUCACUAGUCCAAGUCCUCUUUCUUGCAGUUGGAGGAUUUGACACUAAAAGAACGAUCAGAAUUGGAGUAGCACAGUUUCCUUUUCGUUCUGUACUGAGGUUCACGUCUGUUUCCAAACACACGUCCCAUAAUGCAACUUGAUUCUGUCGCUACACCCUCCCUUUUUAAGCGGUGCACAUGAGUAGUUUGAAAGAAUUUAUUGCAUUCACUAGUUUUAAAAUGUUUAUAUUUGGAAGUUUCUCUUGAUUCAUGAACGGAGCAGACCUGCUGCAGGAGUCACGUACAGGUUUAAUGAUCCACUGACGUGCUAACUCACUGUGGAAUAUGUAUUAGGUUGAUGUGAGGGACGGCGCCUCCAUGACUGUUACCCCCCCUCGUCUUCUCCCACAUAUUUAAUAUGACUUCUGACAUGAAGCUUCUGUCGACUCCUGGCUGAUAUUUUUGUGAAUGAAACUUAUCAACAAAACUGAACUGUCAAGUCAUUUAGGAGCAUUAAAUAUAUUGAACAUGUCAGUGAAGCGGAAACAAGCAGUUUGACCGGACAUCACACGCCUGUUAUUACAGCAGUAAUCCUCCUCGUCCGUCUGGUUUAUUAACAGCUUCUUUUACUGGUCACAUGUUUACCAGGCCAAAACUUGACCUGUUGACUUUAUGUUUUGGGUUUAAAGUCUUCAGCCCUGUUUUUACAAUCUAAUCUAAUUUAGUUAAUUUGAUUCAGAAGUGAAAUAUACAAUUCAUUAUAAACCUGUUCAAAGUCAGUUUUUACGAUGUGUAUAAUAUUCUUUUUCCACACUGUCACACGUAUGUUUUAGUGGUGGUGGUAAUCGUGUCGUAAAUCAGCUGUUAUGUAAGAGUGAAUGGAUGGGAGACGGCGCUGCAUGUUGUUACACUGCUGCUGCUGCGUCGCCCUGCGUGACGGCUGCGUCUGGGCUUUAGCUGCUCUGUGAGUGUGCUGCCCACAGGAAGUUCCCACUGCUCUGGCUAUCAGGGCGGAAAAUGAGUGUUUGUCACCCACUUUGGUCACAACUCUCUCUCUCUCUCUCUCUCUCUGUCACUCACACACACUCACACAGACCAUGGAUCGCCGCCUCACAUCCCCUUUCCCACACAGCAGCAGCGGCAGACUCAGAGGGAUCUAACUGUUUAAUUGAGCCUGAGGUGUUGGAUUAUUGUGGAUGUAGUUUUAGGAAGUGAGCUCAAAUUAUUUCAUGAGAAAGUUUUUCUUUGCCGUCAAUUUGACAUCUGGGUCGUUUGGUUGUUGACUUUAAUCUCAACUGUGUCUCAUGUUGAAAUGGAAUAAAUGGAGCGUAAACGAUGAGA